CCUACGGGUGGCAGCAGUGAGGAAUAUUGGUCAAUGGACGGAAGUCUGAACCAGCCAUGCCGCGUGCAGGAAGACGGCCCUAUGAGUUGUAAACUGCUUUUGUACAAGGGUAAACCUGAAUACGUGUACUCCGCUGCAUGUACUGUACGAAUAAGGAUCGGCUAACUCCGUUCCAGCAGCCGCGGUAAUACGGAGGAUCCAAGCGUUAUCCGGAUUUGUUGGGCUUAAAGGGUGCGUAGGCGGAUGGAUAAGUCAGAGGUGAAAUGUCCGAGCUUAACUCGGGAACUGCCGCUAAUACUGUUGAUCUAGAGAGUAGAUGCGGUAGGCGGAAUGUAUGGUGUAGCGGUGAAAUGCUUAGAGAUCAUACAGAACACCGAUUGCGAAGGCAGCUUACCAAGCUAUAUCUGACGUUGAGGCACGAAAGCGUGGGGAGCAAACAGGAUUAGAUACCCUUGUAGUC
rnacentral:rRNA from 1 species